AUGCAAAUAAUAUUGCCUCAUAUGAAUAUACAGCUUACUAAGAAUGUUCACAUACUUUAUCUAUGACACCUGAAUCUAGAAAGGGAAGGUUCAGAUGUUUGCUGCUGGGGAGGAAAAUGGACAGCCUGGGAGUGAAUGUGGAGGGUUAGGUCGUCCUGGGAGGUCAGAUGUCACGGUGCUGGGUCUAUGUACUCUGAAGCCAUCUGAACACUGGGUCCGCCACUUACCAGCUGUGAUG